rnacentral:pre_miRNA from 1 species
CAAAUACUCCCUCUGUCCAGAAAUACUUGUCAUCAAAAUGGAUAAAAGGAAAUGUAUCUAGACGUAUUUUAGUUUUAGAUACAUCUCUUUUUAUCCAUUUUGAUGACAAGUAUUUUCGGACGGAGGGAGUAGAAA